UGCUCAGCCAGGAUUGACUCCCUCAGGGCUCAUUCUGCAGUCACAUGGCUGCAAGCGUCCAAUCUGCGCGAUGCAUCCAGCCCCUCCCUUUUGGCUUUAAAUUCCUAAUCCCACUGCUGGAUCCUCCCCACAAAAAGCAGCCAGCCACUUUGGGAAUACCAAGUAAACCCAAAUCAGGACCCAGUAAUUCCAGUCCAACCAUCCCAAACGAUUUUUUUAAGUGAUAAUAUGGUCAACCAAGGCCAGGAUGGGCGGGCAUGCUGACCUGCUCUUAGGCAGCAUUACCACGGUAACAGAUCCAGUGGGUUUUAGAAGAACAUCCCAGUUUGUGUGGUCAUGAUCCCGGGUGGGUGAAGAUGCACAGCGGAACAUCUUUUUGUGUGCAGAGGAAACGGCAGUCACAGGUGGCUUCACAGGUGGCAGUCACAGGUGGCUUCACAGGUGGCGCCGACACUGAUCCUGGGCAGGAAGAUGUGGCAAGGUGGUCUGGGACAGAAACGGCACGUCACAGAAACCCAGACAGACGCAGGAAGUACCGGUGACUCGUUAGAGGAAAUUCAUUAGAUACUAAAAUAAAUUACAAUUCUGCUGAACGGUUCUAUGCUCCAUCCAUGGGAUCCAAAGAAAAUACAAAAA